CAGUCUAAUGGAGAAACUUAUGAAGAAGAAUAGCAAAGCAAUGGAAGCAAAGGAAGGAAGCGCAGCUGUGCACUCUCGGAGCUUCUGCUUUUAUAAUGGAAGAGGGCCAAAAUUUUCAAGCAAAGGCAACCCGCCAGUCAUGCUGACGAUCCAUGUGCAAGGCAAAACGCCAAUGGUAAUGGCGAUUUGGCCUGCACUGACGCGUCUCCGCUGCUGCACUGCCAUGGCCUGUGACUAGCCCUGCACCCUCAGCUAUUGGAACUCGCCAGUUUGACUGGCGGUUCCCUAGCGUUCUGCAUAUCGCCAGUUCGAAUGGCGAUUUCAAACUUGCAUGCACGUAUCGCCAACGUCAA
rnacentral:misc_RNA from 1 species